GAAUUCGCCCUUAGAGUUUGAUCCUGGCUCAGGACGAACGCUGGCGGCGCGCCUAACACAUGCAAGUCGAACGAGAGAGAGGGAGCUUGCUUCCUCAAUCGAGUGGCGAACGGGUGAGUAACGCGUGAGGAACCUGCCUCAAAGAGGGGGACAACAGUUGGAAACGACUGCUAAUACCGCAUAAGCCCACGGGUCGGCAUCGACCAGAGGGAAAAGGAGCAAUCCGCUUUGAGAUGGCCUCGCGUCCGAUUAGCUAGUUGGUGAGGUAACGGCCCACCAAGGCAACGAUCGGUAGCCGGACUGAGAGGUUGAACGGCCACAUUGGGACUGAGACACGGCCCAGACUCCUACGGGAGGCAGCAGUGGGGAAUAUUGCACAAUGGGGGAAACCCUGAUGCAGCGACGCCGCGUGGAGGAAGAAGGUCUUCGGAUUGUAAACUCCUGUUGUUGAGGAAGAUAAUGACGGUACUCAACAAGGAAGUGACGGCUAACUACGUGCCAGCAGCCGCGGUAAAACGUAGGUCACAAGCGUUGUCCGGAAUUACUGGGUGUAAAGGGAGCGCAGGCGGGAAGACAAGUUGGAAGUGAAAUCCAUGGGCUCAACCCAUGAACUGCUUUCAAAACUGUUUUUCUUGAGUAGUGCAGAGGUAGGCGGAAUUCCCGGUGUAGCGGUGGAAUGCGUAGAUAUCGGGAGGAACACCAGUGGCGAAGGCGGCCUACUGGGCACCAACUGACGCUGAGGCUCGAAAGUGUGGGUAGCAAACAGGAUUAGAUACCCUGGUAGUCCACACUGUAAACGAUGAUUACUAGGUGUUGGAGGAUUGACCCCUUCAGUGCCGCAGUUAACACAAUAAGUAAUCCACCUGGGGAGUACGACCGCAAGGUUGAAACUCAAAGGAAUUGACGGGGGCCCGCACAAGCAGUGGAGUAUGUGGUUUAAUUCGACGCAACGCGAAGAACCUUACCAAGGCUUGACAUCUACUUAAAGUCAUGGAAACAUGAUGUCUCUUCGGAGGAAGUAAGACAGGUGGUGCAUGGUUGUCGUCAGCUCGUGUCGUGAGAUGUUGGGUUAAGUCCCGCAACGAGCGCAACCCCUGUUGCCAGUUACCAGCACGUAAAGGUGGGGACUCUGGUAAGACUGCCGGGGACAACUCGGAGGAAGGUGGGGACGACGUCAAAUCAUCAUGCCCCUUAUGUCUUGGGCUACACACGUGCUACAAUGGCUGUAACAAAGAGAAGCAAGACCGCGAGGUGGAGCAAAACUCAGAAACAACGUCCCAGUUCGGACUGCAGGCUGCAACUCGCCUGCACGAAGUCGGAAUUGCUAGUAAUCGUGGAUCAGCAUGCCACGGUGAAUACGUUCCCGGGCCUUGUACACACCGCCCGUCA
rnacentral:rRNA from 1 species